rnacentral:rRNA from 1 species
CCUACGGGAGGCAGCAGUGAGGAAUAUUGGUCAAUGGACGAGAGUCUGAACCAGCCAAGUAGCGUGAAGGAUGACUACCAUAUGGGUUGUAAACUUCUUUUAUAUGGGAAUAAAAUGUUCCACGUGUGGGAUUUUGUAUGUACCAUAUGAAUAAGGAUCGGCUAACUCCGUGCCAGCAGCCGCGGUAAUACGGAGGAUCCGAGCGUUAUCCGGAUUUAUUGGGUUUAAAGGGAGCGUAGGUGGAUUGUUAAGGCAGUUGUGAAAGUUUGCGGCUCAACCGUAAAAUUGCAGUUGAAACUGGCAGUCUUGAGUACAGGAGAGGUGGGCGGAAUUCGUGGUGUAGCGGUGAAAUGCUUAGAUAUCACGAAGAACUCCGAUUGCGAAGGCAGUUCACUGGACUGCAACUGACACUGAGGCUCGAAAGUGUGGGUAUCAAACAGGAUUAGAUACCCUUGUAGUC